rnacentral:lncRNA from 1 species
CUGUUUAUCCAUAAAAAGUAGAUUUAUAAAACCAACCAUAACGAAUUCUUAUAUAGUAAAAUCAACCACUAGCAUCAUCUAAAAUACAUGAGAUCUUGGAGCAUAAAAUAAUCGCAAAAAAAGGCAUAAAUAACGACAACAUCGUCUGAACACUACAUUACACAUCUAAAACAACUUUCUAUAUGUGUAUGUGAGAUGAUGUUUAACAACAAUAUGAAAGGGUUUUUCGAGACACCUACCUGUCUAAACUAGUAGACAUAGAAUUGAUUAACUUUAGUUGUGCGUGAAUUUCAUAUUGUAUGUAUAGAAGCUCCAAGGAUCAUGCCUAUAUGAGUUACUGAAUGCCUAAUAGAUUCUGAGAAUUUGAACAAGCGUUCCUCUGGCUAUAUGUCCACUAAAAAGAAAAAAGAAACAACAAAAAGAACACAUAUCACCCACACCAACCAAAGAUCUCCAAGCUUUUACCAAUAUCCUCUUAAACCCAUUCGUUCCUCUCUUCUACCAAGCUUUGUUGCUCGCUCUCACUCAUUCACAGACACUUGAAGAUAGUGCAUAUAUGCUAAACCUUCACAACUUUGUAAAUUCCUAUUCACUUUUCCAAUUAACACCUCACCCCACACCACAACGACUAGUCAGCUUGUUUUCCUGCUAUCGCCAACAUCACCAUCUCAACACAACCUCCC